UUGGAGAGCCAGGAGAAAAUUGCUGAGAAGAGCUGCUGAAAUUAAGAGCUGAAAAGUCACUGGAAAAGUUAAGCUGAAAACUCUCUUGAGAUCUGAAUCACCCUCAAACCAGUUAAAGGAACAGUCUGGAAUUAAGCUUCCCAGAACUGGAAAGGGAGAGCCAAACUUGAAGCUGAGCAAGGGGAAAAGGCUGUCUCACUGCAGAAGCUGAUUAGAGGUUAUUAUAAGAAAACUCCUGAGGCUGAUGCAAAUGGGAAACAGAAACAAGCCCUGUAGACCAGAAUGUAAGUGGAGACAAAAAAUUAUAAUACAACUUUUCUCUAGAUCCUUAAUGCCAUUGUUGAUUAACUAAUACGAAAGAAGCCACCCACAUCCUGCACCCACAGCUGGGUGGAAACAUUUUGAAAGAAAGAAAGAAAGAAAGAACCAAUCUGUUUACCUCUGGAGAAUAAAACUGUUACUGAAUCCCACUGCCUAACUUCUGAAGACCAAGGGUUAUCAGCAUUCGUAAGCAGAGCACUCAAACAUGGCAUGUGCAAGGUCAGAAUCCAAAAUCCUCGCCUGCAUUGGAGUUGGUGUUUAACAUAAGAAACUUGUGGCCAGCAAGAGUGUCUGCAGAAAUUAGCAGACACAGCUGGUGAACAGAAAAACUUCCGGAGCCAAAGGAAACUAAAACAAAACAAAACCCUGAACCAUUUGGUUUGCAUUUUACAACAUCUAUUUAGUCAGUAAAGACUGCUCCCCUGUAAGGAAUUAUUCUGGCUUCGGACAAUGAGAAGAAUGGCCAACUCUUGAACAGUUCUGGAACUGGAAACUGGCGGGGGCGAGGGGCAGACCCCUCCAAGACAGGAGAAAGAGCCAAGCUGCUUUUCAUAGAUCUGGGGGCAGAAGACCAGCACAGAAAUUUUUUUUAAUUGUUUUUAGUAUUUUAAUUGGUUUUAAGUGGUUUUUAAUUGUUUUAAAAUUGUUAUAAGCAGUGUGUUUUAAAUGGCGUUUGUUUUUAUGUCCUUUUAAACUUGUUGUGCACCGCCCAGAGCCUUUGGAUGGGGUGGUCUAUAAAUGUAAGUAAGUAAGUAAAUAAAUAAAAGCCUUACUCACA